rnacentral:rRNA from 1 species
UACGUAGGGUGCAAGCGUUGUCCGGAAUUAUUGGGCGUAAAGGGCUCGUAGGCGGUUUGUCGCGUCGGGAGUGAAAACUCAGGGCUUAACCCUGAGCCUGCUUUCGAUACGGGCAGACUAGAGGUAUGCAGGGGAGAAUGGAAUUCCUGGUGUAGCGGUGAAAUGCGCAGAUAUCAGGAGGAACACCGGUGGCGAAGGCGGUUCUCUGGGCAUUACCUGACGCUGAGGAGCGAAAGUGUGGGGAGCGAACAGG